rnacentral:rRNA from 1 species
AAGGCGGCGCAAGCUGUCACUUACAGAUGGGCCCGCGGCGCAUUAGCUAGUUGGUGAGGUAACGGCUCACCAGGGCGACAAUGCGUAGCCGACCUGAGAGGGUGAUCGGCCACACUGGGACUGAGACACGGCCCAGACUCCUACGGGAGGCAGCAGUAGGGAAUCUUCCGCAAUGGACGAAAGUCUGACGGAGCAACGCCGCGUGAGUGAUGAAGGUUUUCGGAUUGUAAAACUCUGUUGUUAGAGAAGAACAAGUCGGGUAGUAACUGACCCGACCUUGACGGUACCUAACCAGAAAGCCCCGGCUAACUACGUGCCAGCAGCCGCGGUAAUACGUAGGGGGCAAGCGUUGUCCGGAAUUAUUGGGCGUAAAGCGCGCGCAGGCGGUCCUUUAAGUCUGAUGUGAAAGCCCACGGCUUAACCGUGGAGGGUCAUUGGAAACUGGAGGACUUGAGUGCACAAAAGGAGAGUGGAAUUCCACGUGUAGCGGUGAAAUGCGUAGAGAUGUGGAGGAACACCAGUGGCGAAGGCGACUCUCUGGUCUGUAACUGACGCUGAGGCGCGAAAGCGUGGGGAGCGAACAGGAUUAUAUACCCUGGUAGUCCACGCCGUAUACGAUGAGUGCUAGGUGUUAGGGGGUUUCCGCCCCUUAGUGCUGAAGUUAACGCAUUAAGCACUCCGCCUGGGGAGUACGGCCGCAAGGCUGAAACUCAAAAGAAUUGACGGGGGCCCGCACAAACGGUGGAGCAUGUGGUUUAAUUCUAAGCAACGCGAAGAACCUUACCAGGUCUUGACAUCCUCUGACACCCCUAGAGAUAGGGCUUUCCCUUCGGGGACAGAGUGACAGGUGGUGCAUGGUUGUCGUCAGCUCGUGUCGUGAGAUGUUGGGUUAAGUCCCGCAACGAGCGCAACCCUUGUCCUUAGUUGCCAGCAUUCAGUUGGGCACUCUAAGGAGACUGCCGGUGACAAACCGGAGGAAGGUGGGGAUGACGUCAAAUCAUCAUGCCCCUUAUGACCUGGGAUACACACGUGAUACAUUGCAAGGUACACAGUGGAGUUUGAUCGCGGGUUAGGAAGUAGUACCAAGGUACCCAGUAGAGUUUGAUCAUGGCUCAGGAAGUCGUAACAAGGUAACCAG